CUAACCUCACCACACGGCACAAGCUCUCUCACCACCAAAGAGCAAGAAAACCAGAUCGACAAAAGGCUGUGCAAAUUCAAUGAUUUAAAAUGGCUGAAACCAAACAAGGGAAAACUGGUGAGGGCAGGUCUGCUCUUUUAUCUGCCCCAAUACACCAGCAGGUUAUGGAAUACUCCUCUUAAGGACUAGCUUAUCACAAGAUUCUCUGCAGAGGGGAAGUUACAGCAAGGAGGAGAAUCCCUUUUGCCAGCCACUCACCACUGUUUGGGAAGCCUGGGUAAUUGCGAAAAGGACAGAACUGAGGUGUUUGAAUGAUCGGAGUCCUGAAAGAAGCUAGGGGAAGCUUAAGAAGGAUCUUAAAAGGUUACUAAAGAAGAAAGCAUAUCCAAGCGUAACUAACAAUCACUUGGGUUGGAAAUCAGGCCCUGCCUGUGGUAACUCGAAUCAAUUCCUUUAAUCAGCAGGAGGCA